rnacentral:misc_RNA from 1 species
GAUGAAGAACGUAGCGAAAUGCGAUAAGUAGUGUGAAUUGCAGAAUUCAGUGAAUCAUCGAAUCUUUGAACGCACAUUGCGCCCCUUGGUAUUCCAUGGGGCAUGCCUGUUCGAGCGUCAUUAUCACCCCUCAAGCCCUCGGCUUGGUGUUGGACGGUUUGGUGGAGGCCCCCUCGGGGGCUCCUGCCCCUCCCAAAGACAAUGACGGCGGCCUCGUUGGACCCCCGGUACACUGAGUUCUUCACGGGACACGUAUCGGACACAUGGGUUUACGGGACACGGUCUGCCUCCCCUCAGGGAGAAUCUUUCUAAGGUUGACCUCGGAUCAGGUAGGGAUACCCGCUGAACUUAAGCAUAUCAAUAAGCGGAGGA